GAGGAAAGCGGGCGGCGUGCCUAAUACAUGCAAGUCGAGCGAACAGAUGAGGAGCUUGCUCCUCUGACGUUAGCGGCGGACGGGUGAGUAACACGUGGAUAACCUACCUAUAAGACUGGGAUAACUUCGGGAAACCGGAGCUAAUACCGGAUAAUAUAUUGAACCGCAUGGUUCAAUAGUGAAAGACGGUUUUGCUGUCACUUAUAGAUGGAUCCGCGCCGCAUUAGCUAGUUGGUAAGGUAACGGCUUACCAAGGCAACGAUGCGUAGCCGACCUGAGAGGGUGAUCGGCCACACUGGAACUGAGACACGGUCCAGACUCCUACGGGAGGCAGCAGUAGGGAAUCUUCCGCAAUGGGCGAAAGCCUGACGGAGCAACGCCGCGCGAGUGAUGAAGGUCUUCGGAUCGUAAAACUCUGUUAUUAGGGAAGAACAAAUGUGUAAGUAACUAUGCACGUCUUGACGGUACCUAAUCAGAAAGCCACGGCUAACUACGUG
rnacentral:rRNA from 1 species